GUCUGUGGCUAUACUGCCUUGAGCAUGUCUGAUUUCAGAAGCUGAGCAAGGUUGGGCCCUGUUAGUAUAUGGAUGGGAAGAAAAACCUCUUUCUAUGAUAAAACUACCAUAUGAAAAUCAUAAGAAUCCUAACCU
rnacentral:rRNA from 1 species